UACGUAGGCAGCAAGCGUUGUUCGGAAUUACUGGGCGUAAAGAGUGUGUAGGCGGUGCUCUAAGUUCGGUGUGAAAUCUCCCGGCUCAACUGGGAGGGUGCGCCGGAAACUGGAAUGCUUGAGCGUGGGAGAGGAAAGCGGAAUUCCUGGUGUAGCGGUGAAAUGCGUAGAUAUCAGGAGGAACACCUGCGGUGUAGACGGCUUUCUGGACCAUAGCUGACGCUGAGACACGAAAGCGUGGGUAGCAAACAGG
rnacentral:rRNA from 1 species